AAAAGUACAAUAACUAAUUACUUUAUUACUGAGUGUGUCUAAAUAUGUAUUAUGUUUUUUGCAUUAACCUUCUUGUUGCUCUCCCCCUCUGUAAUGCCUUCGGGCCCUGAGGGUAUAAUAAAUGAAAUGAAAUGAAAUAAUCCCGAACCCGGGCACGGAGGUCGGUCCUUCGGGGCCCUGUGCGGUAACGCAAACCAGCUCGGAGAUGCCGAUGCAAGCCGCCGGGGAAGAGUUUUCUUUUCUCUGUAAGAAGGUCGAGUCCCUGGAUUGGAUUCGCCCCGAGAUAAGGAUGGUGGCUCCGUAGAGCCGUGCGGCUCUUGCGCUGUCCGGUGCGCUCGCGUCGGCCUUUCCAAAUCCGAGUGAGGGAGUGUGAUUUUCGUGCCGGACCGUACCCAGCAUCCGCAGCAGGU
rnacentral:rRNA from 1 species